GACGGAGGGUGCUAGCGUUGUUCGGAUUUACUGGGCGUAAAGGGCGCGUAGGCGGCCCUGUCAGUCGGGUGUGAAAGCCCGGGGCUCAACCCCGGAACGGCACCCGAGACGGCAGGGCUGGAGACCGGGAGAGGAGGGUGGAAUAGCCAGUGUAGAGGUGAAAUUCGUAGAUAUUGGCUGGAACACCGGUGGCGAAAGCGGCUCUCUGGCCCGGUUCUGACGCUGAGGCGCGAAAGCGUGGGGAGCAACAGGAUAGAACC
rnacentral:rRNA from 1 species